rnacentral:lncRNA from 1 species
ACACCUGCUGAAACCACCAGGUUUUGAGCUCCUUACGGAAAAUAUGUAGAGGAGGGCCAGCCUAGUCUCUUUAGAGAGAGCAUUCCAGAAUUCCACACAGGAAACAAUCAGGGCCAGCUAACACCUCCCAACAAAGUAUUCCCAUCAUCAAAGUCUGGCAAAUCCUCUGUUUUCUCAGGGCCACAGACAGUAGAAGCACAUAAAAUAUCGCAAACAACACCACUCUGAAAACAAGGGAAUUCCAGACAGGAAACAAUCAGGGCCAGCUAACACCACCCAACAAAAAAUUCACUCAGGAAGGAAACAGUCAGGCUUUAAAGCUGCAAGGCCAUUACAUCCUAAUCAUUUUCCCUAAUUGCAGCAUUCAUACUUGCCUCCAAAAGACCAAAAAAAAAAAUCAGAAAUAUUGUAUAUUUACAACCUUUAGGAAAUAAUAUCCCCUGAUGGCACAGCGUGUUAAAGCACUGAGCUGCUGAACUUCUGGACCGAAAGGCUGCAGGUUUGAAUUGGGGGAGCGGAGAGAGCCCCCACUGUUAGCCCCAGCUUCUGCCAACCCAGAAGUUCAGCAGCUCAGCGCUUUAACACACUGUGCCACCCCGGGCCCUGUCUUCUCUGUAGUUCAUGAUAAUUUCUCUUACUCAUUAAUCUUUCCUGUAGUCAAUGGGCAGAUGCUCGUAAGACAACUACUUUUACAAGUUAUUCCCUAUCCUUCAUGUGAAACAUAUUAAGCAGCAGAAGAUUGUUUAAGCAUGACCUCAUUUGCCUGACUCUUCACAGGUUGUCCUUAAUUAAGAUGGUUUUGUAUCUUUCUUAUAGUCUCUCCUAAUUCAUGUCCACAUUUUCACUGACCUUUUAAAGUUUUGCUCCAUCUCAAUAAGUUGAAUUUAUUAUCCAUUAUCUUGCAGAAAAUAUAAUUGUUUUAAAUAACAGGUAUUUGUUUGUCAGAAGAUGUUGAUUUGUUUGUUUCACCUAAUAUUUCACUUCUGUGGUUCUCAAACUUUAUCUCUUCAGAACUGAUGAGGCUUUGGCUUUGUGGUGUGCUAACUUCAAUGUUCACCCACUGAUCUUGAUGGCUCCAGAGACUCUAGAAAUUUUAGAUAUGCAUUGUCUUAAUAAUAAUUAAAGGAGGGCCAUCAUCACAAGCCUAUUGCAGCAGCUAUAGUUUUACAAAUUCCAAAAUAUUUCCAUGUAAUAGCUGCAAUGCAUCUGCAAGCUAAGAGCAUCCAGGCCUU